rnacentral:tRNA from 1 species
CAAAUUAUAGCUUAAAAGUAUUUUAUUUACAUUAAAAAGUUAAUUGUUGAAUCGAUUUAAUUUGA